rnacentral:lncRNA from 1 species
GGAAAAGAAGAGGAAUGUGAGUUCUGGAGGCUGGAAAUUCCAAAGUCAACGAGCCACAUCUUCAGGGGGCCUCCUUACUGCAUCAUCCCAUGGCAGAAAGCGAGAAGGUGGAGGCAAGACCCUCCUGCGUACUCUCCAGCAUUCUCGCUCUCUCUCUAUGCGGCUCUCUCCGCUCUGGCACUGCGUGUGCAAGAUCCAGCCACCCUGAUCUUCUGCAAUCUCAGCUCCAUCUCCUCAGCUCCAGGACCUCCCUGGGUUCCGCUGGGUCCUUCUUCCCCACCUCACGACCUGGAAGUGCUCUCAGGGCCGUAAGCCAGGGAAGUUGCAAGCCUCCUUUCACUUGCUUCUCAUCUCUCCUUCAUUGCCUCAUGCCCAGUGUCUUGGAAACCACUGUUUUCACCGAUUUUGUCUGUUUUUCAUCACCUCGGGAGGAAGCGUGAAUCCAAUCCCUGUCACUCCAUCCUGACUGGAAGAGGAAAUCUCUGCAGCUGGGGUUGAAAACCACGGAGCUACACCAACGACUUCACUGUUCAAAUGGGGAAACUGAGGCUUGCACAAGAUCACACAGCAGACCUUCAUCACCCCAUCUGUGGGAUUCUCAUCAGAGCCCCACGGUGAUUUCUUGAGUUGACAAUCACCAGAGAGCAUGGAGGAAACAGAAAUUGCCCUCAGCACACUUCUGUGCCAACCCAGAGUGAGGGCUAGGAUGGAGCCUGUCUCCCUCGGUAGCUCGCAGUCCUGUGCAUCUUCCUCCCCUCUUCCUCUGGCCUCAGCAAAGCCCAGCCCGAGGGGGUCACCUGGCACCUCGACUGCAGAUGGCGUCUCCAGCCUCCCAGCCGUGUCUGGGGACUGUGCCCAGGAAAUAAUUGUCAAUUGUAAAGGAGAAGGGAGAAUUAAGAGCUGGAGUGAGGAAUGGUGCUGCAGACAGGGAUGCUGCAGGAAAACGCCAAGCCAGCUUCCCCCGGAGGAAGCCCAAUUCCAGCCCAUCAUUAGGUUCUCCCAGCUUUCACAUUUAAAAAUCUAGAUCUAAACCAGAUACAGAAAACUGAUUUCCUUCCUCACUUUCCUUCUCCUCCCCUUGCCUUUUCCGUCCAGGUGCCUGGUGGAUGUGUCUGGGUCUUUAGCAGCCCUCAGAUGAGGGGAAAGCAAGAACUUCUCAAACUACCGCUAGAAAAUGACGAUGCGGGAGAGGCAUCCAUCCCACCCACUGGGGUUUCCUAUCCCAGAAACGUCCUGCCAUCCCCACCAGGGUCCCAGACUG